rnacentral:lncRNA from 1 species
AUACAUUUUCGAAUUUGCCGUAUGGCAGAAAACAACAUACAAGGCUAAGGAAGAGGAGUUGUUUUCAAGAGUUAAAUAAAUGGACUGUUAAUUAAGAACGCAAGAGACUGAUUACUUACACUAUGUAAACUCAGACACACAUUAAAAUAGGCUAGAUGUGAAGCAAUACUGAAAUUAUAGAAUACCCUACAGCAGUACUGAUCUUACACUAAUUAGCAUACAUAAGUUCUUAACUUUAGCAUCUUACAUAUUGAACCUAGUGGAUGCAUUGCAGUUAAUUACACAACUUCACUCAUAUGGAAACUAACAUAUAAAUUCGCAGGGACAAGAAAAGAAAACUAUGGCUAAUAUCUUCGAGCUUUAAAGCUCUUUCAUUUCAUGCUUUAAUCGUUCGGCUACAUCGUGACCAAGAGAGAUUGUGUACCUGGUAACUAUGAAAAGAAAAAUGAGAGAAGGCUGUAUCAGUUAAAGAAUAGCAGGCAAGUACAAUAAUGUACAGCUUCAGCAAAACACAGAAGGAAUCCAACAGCAAUGACAGUAGGCCCUGUAAUAGAAGAAGAAAAACCAACAGAAGGAAGUGAAGUAUAGAUUCAGAUGCUUGAAAACCAGUAUCAAAUCAGCAACAACAAAAUAAACACCAGAAAUCCAGAACCAAAGACAACUGAGCAAUCACACUGAAGCCCCAUAAUCACUCAAGAAAUAACCUCACAGUCAAAGUGUGGCCAACAGAUACAUAGCCUAAACACUCUAUUCUUUUAGAAGAUUCUGUAGAUAAAACUUCAGCCUUAAUUUCACUCUAUUUUCAAAAAAUGUUCAAUAAAAAUCUCAAGUUCUUUCAAAGACUUUCUUUUAGUUUUCUUCCCUCAAAAAUUUGAUCCCUUAAACUUGGCCAAAUGACCUUUAUGUAUUCAAAAACCAGACCCUCUCCCUUUAUCCUUUAGUAAUUACAACAAACCUUUUAUCAUUACCCUUCCCAUUACCCCUUUAAUUAUUAUUACAACACAUUUAUUAUUACUCUUCAACUUAACAUAUACUUUAAUAACCAAGCCCCCAAAAUAUGCCCUUCUAUGCCCCUUUUAUCAUUAUAUACACUAUUCCUAAUUCAAAUAACCAAAAAGUAGUCAACAGAAACCCCACAGUCCCACUUAAAUUAUUCCUUGCUCCCCAUUACUCAUUAGUUCUAUGUCAAUUAAUAUCCCAAUAACAAUACACAAUUAUUAAAAUAUUAUCCUAAGUGUUUCAUUCCCAAAUUAACCUUGGAAUUCAUGAAAUCCCUUUACUAUCCUAAACCAUAAUACAGAUUCAAAAAUCUGUUCAAACAUAAAAAAUGAUCUAAAACGAAAGUUUAACUAUCAGCUAUAACCAACCCUUAUACUAAUUUGAACACAAUUAGAAAAACUGAAGCAUCAGAAAUAUCUACUUUUAAUCAUGAAAAAUCAUUCAUUACUGGAAAAUCAUGACCUGAACUGAUCAGCUCUGUUCAUUAAUUCAAAUAAUUUACAGGCUCAACUAUUUGCACACUGAGAAUAGAAAUGGAAUAGGCUAACAAUGCCAUUGACACUUUAAACAAAAGCAAACAUUAACCAGUUUUUCAUUUCGACUUUUAAGACUAAUUAAUACUUAAUAGAUUAAUUACGCAUAAUAGGGAUAAUCAGUAAGCAGAAUCAAAUAUACAAACAAUUACAUGUGUAAUUUCAGAGACAUUUGGCAUAAACAGUGAGUUUUAAUACAAUUCGACUAAUUGAUGAAAUUAGUGGAAUCGAUUACCCAAUCUAUACUUACACACUUAACCAACGUACAAAAAACUAAUUCGACCAAAUAAAAGGUCGUUUGGAGAUGGACAGAAAAAUGAAGGAAAAUUGAAAAAAAUAUUCAAACUAAAUUAAAAUAACAAGCAGAUGCCAAUAGCACACAAACAGAAAAGGAAGAAAUGUAAAAUACUCUAAAAGAAAUAAGAAAUUAAAUAUUAGGCAGGCUUGACCAAUCUCGGAUUCGAACCUCUUUUGAGAUCAAACGGACUUUAAUCAAGUGUUUUCGGUUGAGAACACUUGACUAAUGUCAGUUGAAACCUCAAAUUCUUCUUAAUUUGAGACGAAACCCCACUUUUUUUAGGGAUCUAGGGUUCAAAUUUGAGUCUUGAACAUUUAUGGGCAGAUUCAAUCCAAACCAAUGGUAUUUGGGGUAAGAGGGAGGUCAGGAGGUGUUGUGGUAUGAAUUUUAGCUUGGUUGGGGUAAGUUAUAGUUUGGCUCGAAUCUUCAAAUGAAGAUUUGAAGAGUUUCAAGCUGAUUCGAGCCAAACGGGUUAGGGAUUUGGGUUGAGGGUGGGCUUCUGGUAUUAGGGUGUUAAUUUGUGGUUCAUCAGAGCUCAGGCCGCCAGGUUUCAACCAUAGAAAAGCUAUGGAAAUUAGGGUUCAAACCCUAAUCUUUGUCUCUGAAUGACAGAGGCGAUUGAGGAUGAAGGGGGUGGCUUUUGAGGGGGGAAGG